GACGAACGCUGGCGGCGUGCUUAACACAUGCAAGUCGAACGGUGAAGGUGGGAGCUUGCUUCUGCUGGAUCAGUGGCGAACGGGUGAGUAACACGUGAGUAAUCUGCCCCGGACUCUGGGAUAAGCGCUGGAAACGGCGUCUAAUACUGGAUAUGACCCAUACAGGCAUCUGUUGUGGGUGGAAAGAUUUUUUGGUUUGGGAUGAGCUCGCGGCCUAUCAGCUUGUUGGUGAGGUAAUGGCUUACCAAGGCGACGACGGGUAGCCGGCCUGAGAGGGUGACCGGCCACACUGGGACUGAGACACGGCCCAGACUCCUACGGGAGGCAGCAGUGGGGAAUAUUGCACAAUGGGCGGAAGCCUGAUGCAGCAACGCCGCGUGAGGGAUGACGGCCUUCGGGUUGUAAACCUCUUUUAGCAGGGAAGAAGCUUUUUGUGACGGUACCUGCAGAAAAAGCACCGGCUAACUACGUGCCAGCCGCCGCCGUAACAC
rnacentral:rRNA from 1 species